AUUGAACGCUGGCGGCAGGCCUAACACAUGCAAGUCGAGCGAGCGGCGGACGGGUGAGUAAUGUAGGGGAAACUGCCGGAUGGAGGGGGAUAACGACUGGAAACGGUAGCUAAUACCGCAUACCAUCAGAUGUGCCAAGAUGGGAUUAGCUAGUAGGUGGGGUAAAGGCUCACCUAGGCGACGAUCCCUAGCUGGUCUGAGAGGAUGACCAGCCACACUGGAACUGAGACCCGGUCCAGACUCCUACGGUAGGCAGCAGUGGGGAAUAUUGCACAAUGGGCGCAAGCCUGAUGCAGCCAUUCCGCGUGUGUGAAGAAGGCCUUCGGGUUGUAAAGCACUUUCAGCGGGGAGGCGUUACCCGCAGAAGAAGCACCGGCUAACUCCGUGCCAGCAGCCGCGGUAAUAC
rnacentral:rRNA from 1 species